rnacentral:rRNA from 1 species
CCCUUAGAUGUUCUGGGCCGCACGCGCGCUACACUGAUGCAUUCAACGAGUCUAUCCUUGACCGACAGGUCCGGGUAAUCUUUGAAUCUGCAUCGUGACGGGGAUAGAUUAUUGCAAUUAUUAAUCUUCAACGAGGAAUGCCUAGUAGGCGCAAGUCAUCAGCUUGCGUCGAUUACGUCCCUGCCCUUUGUACACACCGCCCGUCGCUCCUACCGAUUGGGUGUGCUGGUGAAAUGUUCGGAUCGGCCGUUUGUCGCGGUUUCCGCGUCAUGUGGCUGAGAAGUUCAUUAAACCCUCCCACCGAGAGGAAGGAGAAGUCGUAACA